GGAGCCUUUGGAGAGAUUGAAAACAUUGAACCUCCCAUGGAUACAAAAACAAAUGAAAGAAGAAGAUUUUGUUUUAUCACAUACACAGAUGAAGAGCCGGUUAAAAAAUUGUUAAAGAGCAGAUACCAUCAAAUUGGCUCUGGGAAGUGUGAGAUCAAAGUCGCGCAACCCAAAGAGGUCUGCAGGCAGCAGAAGAAAGGCGGGAGAGGCGCUGCCACCGGUGGCCGAGGCGGGGCAAGGGGGUGUGGUCGAGGUCAGGGCCAAGACCGGAACCAAGGAUUUAAUAACUAUUGUGAUCCAGGAUAUGGAAAUCACAAUAGUGCCUAUGGUGGUGAUCAAAACUAUAGUGGCUAUGGCGGAUAUGAUUAUACUGGGUAUAACUAUGGGCACUAUGGAUAUGGACAGGGAUAUGCAGACUACAGUGACCAACAGAGCCCUUACGGCAAGGCAUCUCGAGGGGGUGGCAAUCACCAAAGCAGUUACCAGCCAUACUAAAGGAGGACCUUGGAGGAAGCAGGAGGAGAUGUUUUAAAAGUAAUCCAUCUUGCAGGACGACAUUGAAGAUUGGUCUUCUGUUGAUCUGAGAUGAUUAUUUUGUAAAAGACUUUCUAGUGCACAAGACACAGCUGUGUCCAGCUGUAUAUAGCUGCCAACCAGUUUUCUUUGUUUCUACUUUGUCCUUUGCUAUCUGUGUUACAACUCAGUGUGGAUUUGUGUUUAUACACAUUUUUAUUUGUAUCAUUCCAUGUUAAACCUCAAAUAAAUGCUUCCUUAUGUGAUUGUUAAAAAAAAAAAA